AAGUGGCAGACUGGAAAAUCUCUGCAGGCAAAUGUGAUGUCGCUAAAGAAAUCACACACUUACCUGUAGAGAUUCUACAGUCUGACAUC
rnacentral:pre_miRNA from 3 species